CGUAAAUUUCUUUCUUUUGUAUGUCAGGACAGAAAUGCUGUUGUGAAUGCAAAAAAUCUUUGGCCAGGAGGAAUAAUUCCAUACGUUCUGGAUCCUGGAGUGGACAAAAUCAUGAAAUUUCUUCUUACGAGGGCCUUUAAUCACUACAA